rnacentral:rRNA from 1 species
UACGUAGGUGGCAAGCGUUGUCCGGAAUUAUUGGGCGUAAAGCGCGCGCAGGCGGCCUUUUAAGUCUGAUGUGAAAGCCCACGGCUCAACCGUGGAAGGUCAUUGGAAACUGAAAGGCUUGAGUACAGAAGAGGAAAGCGGAAUUCCACGUGUAGCGGUGAAAUGCGUAGAGAUGUGGAGGAACACCGGUGGCGAAGGCGGCUCUCUGGGCCUUACCUGACGCUGAGGAGCGAAAGCGUGGGUAGCGAACAGG